UAUUCUAAAAUUUGAAGUCAAUAUAGACAAUUUUACUUAACAAAGUCCCUACUUGUCCUUCGUUUUUUAAGCAUGAGCAAGUUGCUAGAACAUAGGGAUUACAUGAGUCUCUAUUGAGGAGGAACUUGCUUUUUAGGUUAUUAUUUGAAAUGGUCUAUAGAAAUAAUGUGGAGAUUCAGGCUCUAUAAAAAAUGCCGGCCUACAUAUACAUUCUUGCAGCACAAGUGUAGUAUUUGCAUAUGAUGAUUAUUGAGUCGGAUUUUCUAUGUUAUAAUGAAAUCCCUUCUCUUGUCA